rnacentral:rRNA from 1 species
GACGAACGCUGGCGGCGUGCUUAACACAUGCAAGUCGAACGGAAAGGCCCUGCUUUUGUGGGGUGCUCGAGUGGCGAACGGGUGAGUAACACGUGAGUAACCUGCCCUUGACUUUGGGAUAACUUCAGGAAACUGGGGCUAAUACCGGAUAGGAGCUCCUGCUGCAUGGUGGGGGUUGGAAAGUUUCGGCGGUUGGGGAUGGACUCGCGGCUUAUCAGCUUGUUGGUGGGGUAGUGGCUUACCAAGGCUUUGACGGGUAGCCGGCCUGAGAGGGUGACCGGCCACAUUGGGACUGAGAUACGGCCCCGAAUCCUACGGGGGGCCGCAGUGGGGAAUAUUGCACCAUGGGCGGAAGCCUGAUGCAGCAACGCCGGGGGCGGGAUGACGGCCUUCGGGUUGUAAACCGCUUUCGCCUGUGACGAAGCGUGAGUGGCGGUAAUGGGUAAAGGAGCACCGGCUAACUACGUG